AUUGAACGCUGGCGGCACGCCUAACACAUGCAAGUCGAGCGGUAACAGGAUCUGUAGCAAUACAGAUUGCUGACGAGCGGCGGACGGGUGAGGAACACGUAGGAAUCUACCCUUGAGCGGGGGAUAACCAAGGGAACUUUGGCUAAUACCGCAUAAACUCGAGAGAGAAAAGCUACCCGCAAGGGCGGCACUUGAGGAGGAGCCUGCGUCCGAUUAGCUAGUUGGUGGGGAAGAGCCCACCAAGGCAAUGAUCGGUAACUGGUCUGAGAGGACGACCAGUCACACUGGGACUGAGACACGGCCCAGACUCCGUACGGGAGGCAGCAGUGGGGAAUCUUGCGCAAUGGGCGAAAGCCUGACGCAGCGACGCCGCGUGAGGGAUGACGGCCU
rnacentral:rRNA from 1 species